rnacentral:pre_miRNA from 1 species
ACCCUAUCAAUAUUGCCUCUGCUUCUGUGCUGGAUUCAAGUAGUGCAAUAUUGCUUAUAGGGUCU